GCUAGAGCAAGUGUCAUUGCUAGGUAUGUGACUUGUAUGGUAUAUGGGUCCCAAAUUAACAGUACAUCAAGCAGUUGUACAUGUCAUAAAAUUAAAGGGACACCGUAGGCACUGUAUCUGCUUCAUCUCAUUAAACUGGUUAUAGUGUAUAGAGUCCCCUGGUGCCAUCAUUUCUUUCAGCAUUAAACAGUUUUUAAUGUUGUAAUGUUUUAAUCCUAAAC